rnacentral:rRNA from 1 species
UACGGAGGGUGCGAGCGUUGUCCGGAAUCACUGGGCGUAAAGGGCGCGUAGGCGGCUCAUGAAGGCUGUGGUGAAAGUCCGGGGCUCAACCUCGGAUCGGCCGUGGCGUCUCGUGGGCUGGAGCACUGUAGAGGCGGGUGGAAUUCCGGGUGUAGCGGUGGAAUGCGUAGAGAUCCGGAAGAACACCAGUGGCGAAGGCGGCCCGCUGGGCAGUGGCUGACGCUGAAGCGCGACAGCGUGGGGAGCAAACAGG